rnacentral:misc_RNA from 1 species
AAGUCGUAUCAAGGUUUCCGUAGGUGAACCUGCGGAAGGAUCAUUAGAAUGAAGCCGGACCAUGUCGUGGGCGAAAGCUCGCACGUGCCAGUAAGCGCCCGUAAACCUCCACCCUUGUGUAUUAUUCUUCUGUUGCUUUGGCAGGCCGCGCCCUCAUGGGGGGCGCUGGCUUCGGUGGACGAGUGCCUGCCAGAGGACCAAACUCUGUAAUUUAAUGCUCUGAGUACUUCGAAAAUUAUUAAAA